rnacentral:rRNA from 1 species
GACGAACGCUGGCGGCGUGCCUAAUACAUGCAAGUAGAACGCACAGUUUAUACCGUAGCUUGCUACACCAUAUACUGUGAGUUGCGAACGGGUGAGUAACGCGUAGGUAACCUGCCUGGUAGCGGGGUAUAACUAUUGGAAACGAGAGCUAAUACCGCAUAAUAUUGAUUAUUGCAUGAUAAUUUAUUGAAAGAUGCUAUUUCAUCACUACCAGAUGGACCUGCGUUGUAUUAGCUAGUAGGUGAGGUAACGGCUCACCUAGGCGACGAUACAUAGCCGACCUGAGAGGGUGCUAGGCAUCACUGGGCCUGAGACACGACCCAGACUCCUACGGGAGGCAGCAGUAGGGAAUCUUCGCCAAUGGAAGCAAGUCUGACCGAGCAACGCCGCGUGAGUGAAGAAGGUUUUCGGAUCGUAAAGCUCUGUUGUAAGAGAAGAUCGGGUGUGAGAGUGGAAAGUUCACACUGUGACGGUAUCUUAACAGAAAGGGACGGCUAACUCCGUG